CUACGGGAUGCUCCAGUGAGGAAUUUUGCGCAAUGGGGGCAACCCUGACGCAGCAACGCCGCGUGAGUGAAGAAGGCCUUUGGGUCGUAAAGCUCUGUCAAUUGGGAAGAAGUUAUGAGUGUCCAAUAGGCACUUAUAUUGACGGUACCAAUGGAGGAAGCGCCGGCUAACUCCGUGCCAGCAGCCGCGGUAACACGGGGGGCGCAAGCGUUAUUCGGAAUUAUUGGGCGUAAAGGGCGCGUAGGCGGUCUUAUCGGUCAGAUGUGAAAGCCCGGGGCUCAACCCCGGACGUGCAUUUGAAACAGUAAGACUUGAGUACGGGAGAGGAAAGCGGAAUUCCUGGUGUAGAGGUGAAAUUCGUAGAUAUCAGGAGGAACACCGAUGGCGAAGGCAGCUUUCUGGACCGAUACUGACGCUGAGGCGCGAAGGCGUGGGUAGCGAACGGGAUUAGAUACCCUUGUAGUC
rnacentral:rRNA from 1 species